CAAGUGAGCCGGGCGAUCGCGGCCCUGAGCUUGUCGAAGGGCCGAGGAAAGUCCGCUCUCCGCAGAGCGCGGCGCCGGGUAAUGCCCGGAGCAAAGCGAUUCGCUGGAAGAGGGCCACAGAGAAGCGUAGUGCGCCCUCACCCCUUCCCCUCUCCCACUGGGCGAGGGGUUCGGGGUGAGGGCGCGAGGGUGAAACGGUGCGGUAAGAGCGCACCAGCGUUUGCCGCAAGGCAGGCGGCUAGGCAACCCCCGCCGGGAGCAAGGUCAAGCAGAGGCGAGAUGCGGCUCGCAUCGUUUGAGCCUCGGGUAGACCGCACGACCUCAGCAGUAAUGCUGAGGCUAGAGAGAUGAUCGCCGCUCGCAAGAGCACAGAAAGCGGCUUACAGGCUCACUUGAACG
rnacentral:RNase_P_RNA from 1 species